ACGAACGCUGGCGGCGUGCCUAAUACAUGCAAGUCGAACGAAACUUUCUUACACCGAAUGCUUGCAUUCACCGUAAGAAGUUGAGUGGCGGACGGGUGAGUAACACGUGGGUAACCUGCCUAAAAGAAGGGGAUAACACUUGGAAACAGGUGCUAAUACCGUAUAUCUCUAAGGAUCGCAUGAUCCUUAGAUGAAAGAUGGUUCUGCUAUCGCUUUUAGAUGGACCCGCGGCGUAUUAACUAGUUGGUGGGGUAACGGCCUACCAAGGUGAUGAUACGUAGCCGAACUGAGAGGUUGAUCGGCCACAUUGGGACUGAGACACGGCCCAAACUCCUACGGGAGGCAGCAGUAGGGAAUCUUCCACAAUGGACGCAAGUCUGAUGGAGCAACGCCGCGUGAGUGAAGAAGGUCUUCGGAUCGUAAAACUCUGUUGUUAGAGAAGAACACGAGUGAGAGUAACUGUUCAUUCGAUGACGGUAUCUAACCAGCAAGUCACGGCUAACUACGUGCCAGCAGCCGCGGUAAUACGUAGGUGGCAAGCGUUGUCCGGAUUUAUUGGGCGUAAAGGGAACGCAGGCGGUCUUUUAAGUCUGAUGUGAAAGCCUUCGGCUUAACCGGAGUAGUGCAUUGGAAACUGGAAGACUUGAGUGCAGAAGAGGAGAGUGGAACUCCAUGUGUAGCGGUGAAAUGCGUAGAUAUAUGGAAGAACACCAGUGGCGAAAGCGGCUCUCUGGUCUGUAACUGACGCUGAGGUUCGAAAGCGUGGGUAGCAAACAGGAUUAGAUACCCUGGUAGUCCACGCCGUAAACGAUGAAUGCUAGGUGUUGGAGGGUUUCCGCCCUUCAGUGCCGCAGCUAACGCAAUAAGCAUUCCGCCUGGGGAGUACGACCGCAAGGUUGAAACUCAAAGGAAUUGACGGGGGCCCGCACAAGCGGUGGAGCAUGUGGUUUAAUUCGAAGCAACGCGAAGAACCUUACCAGGUCUUGACAUCCUUUGACCACCUAAGAGAUUAGGCUUUCCCUUCGGGGACAAAGUGACAGGUGGUGCAUGGUUGUCGUCAGCUCGUGUCGUGAGAUGUUGGGUUAAGUCCCGCAACGAGCGCAACCCUUGUUGUCAGUUGCCAGCAUUAAGUUGGGCACUCUGGCGAGACUGCCGGUGACAAACCGGAGGAAGGUGGGGACGACGUCAAGUCAUCAUGCCCCUUAUGACCUGGGCUACACACGUGCUACAAUGGACGGUACAACGAGUCGCGAGACCGCGAGGUUUAGCUAAUCUCUUAAAGCCGUUCUCAGUUCGGAUUGUAGGCUGCAACUCGCCUACAUGAAGUCGGAAUCGCUAGUAAUCGCGAAUCAGCAUGUCGCGGUGAAUACGUUCCCGGGCCUUGUACACACCGCCCGUCACACCAUGAGAGUUUGUAACACCCAAAGCCGGUGGGGUAACCGCAAGGAGCCAGCCGUCUAAGGUGGGACAGAUGAUUGGGGUG
rnacentral:rRNA from 1 species